rnacentral:rRNA from 1 species
AGAGUUUGAUCCUGGCUCAGAUUGAACGCUGGCGGCAUGCCUUACACAUGCAAGUCGAACGGCAGCACGGACCUCGGUCUGGUGGCGAGUGGCGAACGGGUGAGUAAAGCAUCGGAACGUGCCCGAUCGUGGGGGAUAACGCAGCGAAAGCUGCGCUAAUACCGCAUAAGAUCUACGGAUGAAAGCGGGGGACUCGCAAGAGCCUCGCGCGAACGGAGCGGCCGAUGUCAGAUUAGGUAGUUGGUGGGGUAAAGGCCCACCAAGCCGACGAUCUGUAGCUGGUCUGAGAGGACGACCAGCCACACUGGGACUGAGACACGGCCCAGACUCCUACGGGAGGCAGCAGUGGGGAAUUUUGGACAAUGGGCGCAAGCCUGAUCCAGCCAUGCCGCGUGCAGGAAGAAGGCCUUCGGGUUGUAAACUGCCUUUGUACGGAGCGAAAAGCCCCUGGCGAAUAACCGGGGGUCAUGACGGUACCGUAAGAAUAAGCACCGGCUAACUACGUGCCAGCAGCCGCGGUAAUACGUAGGGUGCAAGCGUUAAUCGGAAUUACUGGGCGUAAAGCGUGCGCAGGCGGUUUUGUAAGACAGAGGUGAAAUCCCCGGGCUCAACCUGGGAACUGCCUU